AAAACGACUCUCGGCAAUGGAUAUCUCAGCUCUCGCAUCGAUGAAGAACGCAGUGAAAUGCGAUACAUGGUGUGAAUUGCAGAAUCCCGUGAACCGUCGACUCUUUCAAUGCAAGUUACGCCCGAAGCCACUAGGCCGAGUGCACGUCUGCCUGGGCGUC
rnacentral:rRNA from 1 species